rnacentral:rRNA from 1 species
GAUGAACGCUAGCUACAGGCUUAACACAUGCAAGUCGAGGGGCAGCAUGGUCUUAGCUUGCUAAGACUGAUGGCGACCGGCGCACGGGUGAGUAACACGUAUCCAACCUGCCGUCUACUCUUGGACAGCCUUCUGAAAGGAAGAUUAAUACAAGAUGGCAUCAUGAGUCCGCAUGUUCACAUGAUUAAAGGUAUUCCGGUAGACGAUGGGGAUGCGUUCCAUUAGAUAGUAGGCGGGGUAACGGCCCACCUAGUCUUCGAUGGAUAGGGGUUCUGGAAGGAAGGUCCCCCCCAUUGGAACUGAGACACGGUCCAAACUCCUACGGGAGGCAGCAGUGAGGAAUAUUGGUCAAUGGGCGAGAGCCUGAACCAGCCAAGUAGCGUGAAGGAUGACUGCCCUAUGGGUUGUAAACUUCUUUUAUAAAGGAAUAAAGUCGGGUAUGCAUACCCGUUUGCAUGUACUUUAUGAAUAAGGAUCGGCUAACUCCGUGCCAGCCGCCGCCGUAAGAC